CUUAAUUUGACUCAAUACGGGAAAGCUCACCUGGCCAGGACAAGGAAAGAUUGAUAGCUCUUUCUUGAUUCUGUGGAUGGGUGGGUGGGGGGCGCAUGGCCGUUCUUAGCUGGUGGAGCAAUAUGUCUGGUCAAUUCCGAUAACGCCAACUAGUUAUGCCAUUCCUGAGCAGUUGGAGCCCAACUUCUUAGGAGCAUAAGUGGUCACUCAAGAAUGAGUGAUAACAGGUGCAAUAACAGAUAGAUGGCCAUCUG